CACUGCAACAAUGGCUAUAUAUUGCAUAAAUCAGACUCACAACCAUACCUCACACUGUAAAUGUAAAUGAAUUGAUACAGUAAUGAUCAGUUACAGGAGAGGUAGAAACCAAUAACACAGAUAUUACUAGGCAAAGACAAGAAGAAUCAGAUCAUACAGAUUAGUUUAAAAAAAUAUCGGUAUGAACCGUAGAAUUUGUGUCAACUACUAAAUUAUAAGUAGGCAAUGUAGGCCAACCACGACAGUAC